rfam:Enterobacter cloacae S611 EDP2.NODE_1858, whole genome shotgun sequence.
CAGUGCAUUGGUAACUGGAAGCCAGGGGCGGUAGCAUG